CGCGAAGAACCUUACCUGGUCUUGACAUCCACAGAACUUUCCAGAGAUGGAUUGGUGCCUUCGGGAACUGUGAGACAGGUGCUGCACGGCUGUCGUCAGCUCGUGUUGUGAAAUGUUGGGUUAAGUCCCGUAACGAGCGCAACCCUUAUCCUUUGUUGCCAGCGGUCCGGCCGGGAACUCAAAGGAGACUGCCAGUGAUAAACUGGAGGAAGGUGGGGAUGACGUCAAGUCAUCAUGGCCCUUACGACCAGGGCUACACACGUGCUACAAUGGCGCAUACAAAGAGAAGCGACCUCGCGAGAGCAAGCGGACCUCAUAAAGUGCGUCGUAGUCCGGAUUGGAGUCUGCAACUCGACUCCAUGAAGUCGGAAUCGCUAGUAAUCGUGGAUCAGAAUGCCACGGUGAAUACGUUCCCGGGUCUUGUACACACC
rnacentral:rRNA from 1 species